AUCAAACUGCACCACCUGUUUUCACUUUUUUUACUUUAAAUAUCAAGCAUGUGGUUUCGCACUUUUUUACUUUAGUACUCUGUAUUUUAAAGUGUAUCAAUUUAGUACCCUAUGGUUUUAUUUUUUUCUUUUUGUCGGUCCGUUCGUUAAAUUUUUAUUAAAUCUAUACAAAAAAAACUUCAGAUACCCCACAUAUAGUUUAUCGAAUAUUUACUUCAGUACUAUUUAAUUUUAACUUUGUCACUGAUUUAAUGAAAAAAAUUAGUAAAAUAAAGUAACAAAAAGAAAAAAUAAAAUAAUAUGGUAUGAAUGUGAUACAUUUCAAAACAUAAAAUACUAAAGUAAAUAUUCGAUAAACUAAAAAGAGAUGAUAUUUGAAAAUUUGUCUUUUAUUACUGAUUUAAUGAAAAAAAUUAGUAAAAUAAAGUAACAAAAAGAAAAAAUAAAAUAAUAUGGUAUGAAUGUGAUACAUUUCAAAACAUAAAAUACUAAAGUGAGAAAAUACAAAACCAAAAAGAGAUGAUAUUUGAAAAUUUGUCUUUUAUUAAUAAGUAUAUGACUAAAAAUAUUGUAUAAGACACCGUUUGAUUCGGGUAUAAGUAAGAACUAGCUAUUAAGAAAAAUAACGUUUGGAUGAAAAUUGAACGUUUGGAUAGAUAAUAUGAAGUAAGAAAAAUAGUGGGUAGUUAUAUAUGAAAAAUAGAGGUGUUGGUGUGGAUAGUUAUACCAGCUUAUUUCAGAUAUCCGAGAACUAUUAUUUUCGGAUAAAAAAUUUACGUUUGAGUAUAAAAAGUAGGGAUAAGAGGUUAUACCUCCCUUUAUCCCC
rnacentral:lncRNA from 1 species